rnacentral:rRNA from 1 species
GAUGAACGCUGGCGGCGUGCCUAAUACAUGCAAGUCGAGCGAACAGACGAGGAGCUUGCUCCUCUGACGUUAGCGGCGGACGGGUGAGUAACACGUGGAUAACCUACCUAUAAGACUGGGAUAACUUCGGGAAACCGGAGCUAAUACCGGAUAAUAUAUUGAACCGCAUGGUUCAAUAGUGAAAGACGGUUUUGCUGUCACUUAUAGAUGGAUCCGCGCCGCAUUAGCUAGUUGGUAAGGUAACGGCUUACCAAGGCAACGAUGCGUAGCCGACCUGAGAGGGUGGUCGGCCACACUGGAACUGAGACACGGUCCAGACUCCUACGGGGAGCAGCAGUAGGGAAUCUUCCGCAAUGGGCGAAAGCCUGACGGAGCAACGCCGCGUGAGUGAUGAAGGUCUUCGGAUCGUAAAACUCUGUUAUUAGGGAAGAACAAAUGUGUAAGUAACUAUGCACGUCUUGACGGUACCUAAUCAGAAAGCCACGGCUAACUACGUG